UGCCAGCCGCCGCGGUAAUACGUAGGGGGCAAGCGUUGUCCGGAUUUAUUGGGCGUAAAGAGCGUGUAGGCGGCCAGACAGGUCCGUUGUGAAAACUCGAGGCUCAACCUCGAGACGUCGAUGGAAACCGUCUGGCUAGAGUCCGGAAGAGGAGUGUGGAAUUCCUGGUGUAGCGGUGAAAUGCGCAGAUAUCAGGAAGAACACCUAUGGCGAAGGCAGCACUCUGGGACGGUACUGACGCUGAGACGCGAAAGCGUGGGGAGCGAACAGGAUUAGAUA
rnacentral:rRNA from 1 species